rnacentral:rRNA from 1 species
GACGAACGCUGGCGGCGUGCUUAACACAUGCAAGUCGAACGCGACUGGGGACUUCGGUUCCCAGUUGAGUGGCGAACGGGUGAGUAACACGUGGGUGAUCUACCUUCGAGUGGGGGAUAACGUCCCGAAAGGGACGCUAAUACCGCAUGACGUUCUGGGUUUGAACACCUGGAAACCAAAGCCGGGGACCGCAAGGCCUGGCGCUGGAAGAGGAGCCCGCGUCCGAUUAGCUAGUUGGCGGGGUAAUGGCCCACCAAGGCAACGAUCGGUAGCCGGCCUGAGAGGGCGGACGGCCACACUGGGACUGAGACACGGCCCAGACUCCUACGGGAGGCAGCAGUGGGGAAUUGUUCACAAUGGGCGCAAGCCUGAUGACGCAACGCCGCGUGGGGAUGAAGGUCUUCGGAUCGUAAACCCCUGUCGAAUGGGACGAAAGACUCGUGAGUUAAUACUUUGCGAGAGUGACGGUACCGUUAAAGGAAGCCACGGCUAACUCUGUGCCAGCA